CCCCAGCCAAACCCUGCCAAUACAUUUAAUGGGCACAUUUCUUCUUUCUCAGAUAUCAAGUAGUGGCUGGUGUAAUUGAGCAACGAAUUUUGGAGCCCAUGCUACACCAACACAAGUUGCUGUUGAGUGCAAUGUGCUUUGCUGUGCGAACAGGCAACACAUUCUUGGGUUCACUAUUGUGGGUUGAUUAUGCUCGUUUGAUCGGAAUUCAAAAGGCUCAUGACGAAGUUCCUAUCCAAAAGGCUCAGGAAGUUGAGUCAUAGGUACAUCCGCUUGGUUUUGAAUUCCAAAAUGUCGAUGUUUGCUUGUUAGACCAUUUGACAUGUAGGUUAGCGGGAAAUGAUUCGCUCUAGCAGAGGUUAUAGACCUAGCAUCUUCUUAGGCCUCUCAAGUAUUUAUACGUGUAUCGUAGUUUGAAGACCUUAUGAUGUUCCUUUUGGGUUGAGAUAUCUUCUGCUAAGUUUUUGCUUGAAAUUUUCUAUCUAUUCUGGUACUUGAUAAGUACCAACUACAGGAUUGGAUUCUGAUUGUAAAUCGAAUGCAACUUUCAUUUGAGCAGAUUCAUAAUAAGAGCACAGUUUUUUUCGCGCUUGGA